GUGGGGAAUCUUGCGCAAUGGGCGAAAGCCUGACGCAGCCAUGCCGCGUGAAUGAUGAAGGUCUUAGGAUUGUAAAAUUCUUUCACCGGGGACGAUAAUGACGGUACCCGGAGAAGAAGCUCCGGCUAACUUCGUGCCAGCAGCCGAGGUAAUACGAAGGGGGCUAGCGUUGCUCGGAAUUACUGGGCGUAAAGGGCGCGUAGGCGGACAGCUUAGUCAGAGGUGAAAGCCCAGGGCUCAACCUUGGAAUUGCCUUUGAUACUGGCUGUCUUGAGUUUGGGAGAGGUGAGUGGAACUCCGAGUGUAGAGGUGAAAUUCGUAGAUAUUCGGAAGAACACCAGUGGCGAAGGCGACUCACUGGCCCAAUACUGACGCUGAGGCGCGAAAGCGUGGGGAGCAAACAGGAUUAGAUACCCCAGUAGUCC
rnacentral:rRNA from 1 species